rnacentral:rRNA from 1 species
GUCUCAAAGAUUAAGCCAUGCAUGUGCAAGUAUGAACGCUUGAACCGUGAGACUGCGAAUGGCUCAUUAAAUCAGUUAUAGUUUAUUUGAUGGUGUCCGUUCUACGUGGAUAACUGUGGUAAUUCUAGAGCUAAUACAUGCAAAAGGUCCCGACUCGUUUCGUUUGGGAGGGGACGUAUUUAUUAGAUCCAAAACCAAUGCGGGUGAGUUCGACCUCGGUCGUCCUUCCCGGUCUGUUGGUGAUUCAUAGUAAUUGCUCGAAUCGUUGUGCCCUUGAGCCGGCGAUGGUUCAUUCCAGUUUCUGCCCUAUCAACUUUCGAUGGUACGGUAUUGGCCUACCAUGGUCGCAACGGGUGACGGAGAAUUAGGGUUCGAUUCCGGAGAGGGAGCCUGAAAAACGGCUACCACAUCCAAGGAAGGCAGCAGGCGCGCAAAUUACCCAAUCCCGACUCGGGGAGGUAGUGACAAUAAAUAACAAUGCCGGUCCCUAUAGUGGUCCGGCAAUUGGAAUGAGUACAAUCCAAACCCCUUAACGAGGAACAAUUGGAGGGCAAGUCUGGUGCCAGCAGCCGCGGUAAUUCCAGCUCCAAUAGCGUAUAUUAAAGUUGUUGCAGUUAAAAAGCUCGUAGUUGGAUUUCGGGGCCCCAGACGUUGUCGACCGUCCCUGUCCUCAGGGAGGCGGUUGUCGUUGUCGGUCUCUGAGUCGGAUCGGUCCGUCGAGAGGCGAGCACUGACCGACGGCCCCCGUUUGUCUCUCGAGAUUCCUGCCUGCUCUUAAUUGCGGUGGACGGGGAGUUCGGGAUGUUUACUUUGAACAAAUUAGAGUGUUCCAAGCAGGCCGGUUGCUUUGAAUACAUUAGCAUGGAAUAAUGGAAUAGGGCUGCGUCUGAUGUCGUUGGCGGCGGGAAGGCCUCCCCAGGCGUUAUCGUCGUUUGCGAUCACCGUCCUAUUUUGUUGGUUUUUGGGACCGCAGUCAUGGUCGAGAGGGACAGUUGGGGGCAUUCGUAUUCAGUUGUCAGAGGUGAAAUUCUCGGAUUUAUGGAAGACGAACGAGUGCGAAAGCAUUUGCCAAGGAUGUUUUCAUUAAUCAAGAACGAAAGUUGGGGGUUCGAAGACGAUCAGAUACCGUCGUAGUCUCAACCAUAAACCAUGCCAGCUAGGGAUCGGCGGACGUCGGUAGCGACUCCGUCGGCACCUGUCGAGAAAUCCAAGCCUUUGGGUUCCGGGGGGAGUAUGGUCGCAAGGCUGAAACUUAAAGGAAUUGACGGAAGGGCACCACCAGGAGUGGAGCCUGCGGCUUAAUUUGACUCAACACGGGGAACCUCACCAGGUCAGGACAUGGGAAGGAUUGACAGAUCGAGAGCUCUUUCUUGAUUCUAUGGGUGGUGGUGCAUGGCCGUUCUUAG